GACGAACGCUGGCGGCAUGCCUAACACAUGCAAGUCGAGCGAGCGGCGGACGGGUGAGUAAUGUAUGGGGACUGCCCGAUAGAGGGGGAUAACUACUUGAAACGGUGGCUAAUACCGCAUACUAUCGGAUAACCCAUAUGGGCUUAGCUAGUAGGUGGGGUAAAGGCUCACCUAGGCGACGAUCUCUAGCUGGUCUGAGAGGAUGCAAAGCCAAACUGGGACUGGGAAAGGGCCCAGAAGCCUACGGAGGCAGCAGUGGGGAAUAUUGCACAAUGGGCGCAAGCAUGAUGAAGCCAUGCCGCGGGGAUGAAGAAGGCCUUAGGGUUGUAAAGUACGUUCAGCGGGGAGGCGUUACCCGCAGAAGAAGCACCGGCUAACUCCGUGCCAGCAGCCGCGGUAAUUC
rnacentral:rRNA from 1 species